ensembl:lncRNA
CGCGUUUCCACCGCCAAAAGUGGGCGUGACCCGGACUUUGCCGUACCAGUUCCGACCCCAUUCUAGGGACUCCUCCGUUGCGGUACCCAAAACGAGACCAGACGCCUGAAAGGGUACCCUGGAAUUCUAGCUACACCCCCCCUCCGUUGAUUGGUCGACAGAAUCGUCACUUCCGGGUGACGCGGGGAUAAAAACAAACAAACAGUAGCCUCGAGGUAUUAUUCUUUACAAUUAACAUGUCGCGUAAAAAGCUUGCUUGGGCGAACAAGGAGGUGGAGACGUUCGUCUGCAUUCUUGCGGAGGAAGACGUUGUUUACGAUGUUUACGUAGCUGCCGCGGCGAUCGACAUCCGGCCUACCACAAAGGGUACUGUCGGCGGUGGAAACGCGACCUCGGAACUGAGCUGGGCUAUACCGCCCCCUCCCUACCGCCCCUUUGCGAUCCGAUCCGUUCCGCACCCUGCAGUGGAAACGCGGCGACUGGAGAACGGACCCCGCUAGGAAAAUAGAGCCCAAACUGUCGGGUAAACGUUGACCUGUUAUCAGCCACUGGUAGCCUACUCCACUGGUAUGCAACGCUUAAAAUGAUAGCAGGUCCGACCCAAUGAUCUAUAAACAAAUAGAUAUUUGUCACUUCCAGCAUCUUGUUUCAAGCCUCAUCUUCGUGGUAACUUUUUCACACACACAAAUGAAUGUGCAUGUGUUCGUGAUGUUUCAAAUUUUUGAACGCAUUACUUUUACAGAUUGGAAAGGGCUCUAUAUGAGUCAUAAUGGAAGGGUGGGCAUGUAUGGCGAGUGACAGUGAUGCGUCUGAUGAACAAUUGGUUUUCCACCAUGUGGUCAGGUCUGAUCGUCUGGUUUCUCGGGAGACGUGAAGGUUAUCGAAACCAUUUCUAAAUGGUCUCGUGUAAACAAAUUCAUUUUCGGCCACCCACAACUUCUGUUGUGCCUACUCCUUGUCAUCACUUGGUCCUACUUGGUUUCUCACUCAGCAUGGAUGCAUAUGAACAAAAGCUCCGAGCCGUGAGAUCGAUGGAGGAACAAGGUGCCGAGUAUACCAUGAAGGGACAGGAACACCGAUGUAGCCGCUGGAGGCUGGGGGUGGCUUUUACCAUGCCGUGUCUAUUGGUGAUCGCAUGUACGGCCUUUUCCUUUCACACUUGCCACACCAUAACCUCGCUCUUGAACGUGGAAAAAGCAUAUGAUGGCAUCUUCAUACAAUUUCAUCCCAUCUCAGAUAUCUCAGACAAGGAGACACUCAAGUUCAUGAACUACACAAACAAAAGUGUGGAUCUGGUGGACAACAAAGAGAUCGUCAUCUCUUGCAACGGCCCGUACAUCCUACACAUGUACGUGUGCCCCAGGGGUUUUAACAACGAACCCGGACAGGGCCACCUGGAGCUACGCCUGGCCCCGGAGCAGCAAGCGAUCACUAACUUCACCCUUGAGAGCAGAGGGGGCAUCGACUGCAAGGGCCUACAAACCACUGUCUACCUGCGGAGGGAGCAGAGACUGAACCUCUACUUCUCCUCCAAGAACCGAACCCUCAAGAUUAAGAAUGUCAUCCUCGGCCUCCGCUACCUGUUGGGGCAGUGCCAGUACUGAAAGAGAGAGGCUGGGUAGAAGUACAUUACAAAGACCGGUUCAGUCUUCUGAUCCAACCUGAACAACAGGGCUCGAACUCAAGGAAUAUACCUUGUUGUUGGUUCUGAAGACUAGGCCUACUGUUCAGAACAGGAUUGACAGCGCUAUUGCCUGAAUGUAUUUUCUCGCGGUUGAAUGUGUAUGCAUUUCGCUCUAAGCUAUUUUAGUAUUUUUACUUUUACUGGUAUUCUUUUUAAUGUUGGUAUUAUUAUUACUAAUUUGUAAUUGUUCUGACUCAGGGCUGCUGAAGUCACAUAAGUAUGUCCAACCUAAGAUCAAGUGACAGUGGCUACUGUGUAUAUAUUGGAAAAGUAAACAAAGUUCGAACUAGAGUAGAACUAAGUAGAGAGUAGUAGACUUUACUUCUAUAUAUAUAUAUUCUCCCUUAUAAUUCUGUUAUUUUCACAUAAUUUCAGAGAACUGAAUUGUUUUAAUUUAAUCUAUUAAUAAAAUUUGUUAUUAUCUCAUAUUGUAUAAUGCAAUUGCACUUUUAUUGUGUAUCCUAAUAAAAGGGUAAAAUAUU